UACAGAGGUGGCAAGCGUUGUUCGGAAUUACUGGGCGUAAAGGGCGCGUAGGCGGCCUUCUAAGUCAGACGUGAAAUCCCCAGGCUUAACUUGGGAACUGCGUCUGAUACUGGGAGGCUUGAGUGCGGGAGAGGGAUGUGGAAUUCCAGGUGUAGCGGUGAAAUGCGUAGAUAUCUGGAGGAACACCGGUGGCGAAGGCGGCAUCCUGGACCGACACUGACGCUGAGGCGCGGAAGCUAGGGGAGCAAACGGG
rnacentral:rRNA from 1 species